GCACUUAUUGCAGUACCAGGGGACAGAACAGUUCUGUUCCCCAUCCUGUCUCUCCCUGCCACCAAUCUGCUUGUCCUCCUCCUAGGUUUCUUGCCUCCCCUAAGGCUAUCAUUGUCUAGGUCCUGAAGCUAGAGAACUUCGCCUCUCUCUAGCUUUCAGUCCUUCAUUGCCUUGACCACCACCUUUACCAGUUCAUAUCUGGUCUGCUCAGUUUCCCACAUCUGGCCCAUUGCCACUGCCUGAGCACAUACCUUCAUCUCCCUUAGCUUCAUAUAUGAUAUAGCUCUGUUAGUUGGUACAUACACAUUUACAGUGGCUCUAUCUCCUUAGUAGAUUGACUAUUUUUAUGUCCCCAGUGAUUAAUUUUUUCUGAAGUCUACUUUAUUUGAUGGUAAUAUAGCCAAUACUGCUUUUUUAAAAAAAUUAAUAUUUGUAUGGCAUAUGUUUUAUCCUUUAGCAUUCAGCCUGGUAUAUUAUUGUACUUGAAAUGAAACAUGUGUACUUCUGUACCAUGUGAUUGGGUCUUAUUUUUUUAUAUCCUCUUUGCCAAUCUCUGUCUUUUAGUUGGUAUGUUAGACCACUUAGACUUACUAUAAUUAUUGAUAUGUUAGGGCUUAAGUCUGUCAUUAUUUUUUCUGUUUGUUCUCUUUGUUUUUCAUUUCUCAGUUUUUCCCCCUGUCUUCCUGUGAUUUACUUGCAGAUUUUUUAGAAUCCACUUUUGAUUUUUGAGUGUGCACGUCAAAUAGCUUUUGAAGUGAUUGCUCUAGGUAUUAUAUUACAUGUACAUGACUUAGUCUUAGGCAUCACCUUUUUAGUCAAUUUGAGUGAAGUUUAGGUACUUUGUCUUCCUUUACUAUCCGUUAGCAUCCCUCAAUUAUAACAUAAUUGUGUAUAAUAAUUGCAUACAUUGAGAACCACAUUAUCAGAGUUAUAAUUUUCACUUCAGUCAUCAAACACAAUUUAGAGAACUUGAGAGGAGACCGUAUGUCAUAAACAUACUAAACAUCGAUCUUUGAGUCACAGCAACAGAUGUCCUAAAGCUCAUUUGAUUAAUUCCUGUUGGGUUCAUGGGUGGUGCCAGGUCCACAUACGGUUCCGGAAAAGCAAGUCUGUUGGAGGUGAUUCAGAUGCACACUGAUGACUGAAGAUCCUUUGGCGCUUCUCUUGUUAAUAAUUGCUAGAUAUUGCUAAUAUUGUAAAAGUUAUAGUAAUAACUGAAACAAAUAUGGUAUAUUAGUUUGCAAGCGCUGCCAUAACCAAGUACCACAAAUAACAGAAACUUACUGUCUCACAGUCUGGAUACUAGGAGUUCCCUGCUCCAGUAUGACCUCAGCUUAACUAAUUAUAUGUGCAGUGACUAUUCCCAAAUCAGGUCACAUUCUGAGAUGCUGGGGGCUAGGACUUCAGCAUGUGCAUUUUUGAAAGAUACAGUUCAACCCAUCACAUAUGACAAUGAAUGAAUUUAUCACAGUUUAUAUAAGUGUUUGGCUAUAUAUUCUAAUAGCUAUUAUGAAGGGAGUGUGUACACUCUAUAAACCUGUACAAAUGUAAGGGGAGUUGCUCUUGAACCCUGUGUAUCCUGUGAAGUAAAUGGUUUGCCUUGGUUCUGUUGUACCAAUAGCUUAUGUCACAAUUCUGAUUUGCUGCCUUUCAAAGUCUUGCCACAUUGUCCUUUAAUCACGUGUUGUAGUGGCUUCAGGUUCAACCCUUUCAUCUUGAAAACUCUUAAUACCUAUAUAAAUCUUAAUAAUAAAGAAUUAAAGCAGGAGAGAUCUUCAAAAUAAUACCAUUGUCAUAGUUUAAUUUGCUGUUCAUUUAAAGAUGGUUCUAAUGACAUCUCACUUUUUUCCCCAAGUAUGAAAUUACCCUAGGCAACUUAUCUUAUUAUGUUAAUCAUGCUAAAUAUGAAACUGUCUUACUUUGAGGUGUUAGAAUUUAUAGAAGCUGUAUUUAUGCCUUUUGAUAACAUUCUUUACAACUUACGUAGUGAAAACUACCAAUAAUAAUGUAGACUGUUUCUUCCAUUAUAAAAAUUGUAUGUGCCCUAUAUAAAGGUUGGGGAUUAGGCAGGAAGUGAUACUAAUUUAGGACUGUCACAGUGCUUUCUGUCAUAAAAGUUGUGCAGUCCUAAUAUUGUCCCUUUAAGUGUAGGGUUAGUCAUUAUGGCCUGAGUAACCCACAAGGCAUGUGCUGUGUUAUGGUACGUCUAGUGAAAUUUGGCACCCUCCAAAAGUCUUUCUUCAACUCAGCUUCUUCUUUGCUCUGUCUUUGGGAGGAUAAGAAUAAGAAACAGUCUGAAAUGAAAAUAUUAGUAAAAUCAUAGAUAAUAUCGAUUGACUGAUUUUUAUGCACAAUGUGUAGAACUGCCAGCAGAUUCUGGGACCGUGCCAUUAAUACAUACUUAGGUUAUGCAGGAUUUUGUCUUAAUAUGCUCUGUCUUUAUUUAUGUAAAGCAUAAUUCUGAAUCCAUUUGAGUAAUGUACAUUUAACAUAAGCAGAGUCGUAGGCUGGUAUUAUUAAAAUGCAUAGAGCCGACAUCCUGAGCUUCUGCUGAAAUAUGCUUUUAAUUGAAGCAGAAUUAUGGCAAUAUAUUAUCCAUGUAAGCCUGGUUAUAUCACAGUUUGGUUUGCGUAGAAGCUCUUUGCUCAGUGAGAACUGUACAGUAACCCAUAUGUUGUGAUUCGGCAUUUAAAUAUUCUAUGGUAUAUAUAUCUGAGUUGCUUGAUACAGUGUUAUCUAAGCAUAUGUUAUCUUGUGGAAGAUGCAUCUUGUGGCCAAGUAGCCUUGGAAAGAAUUUGUCAGUUAUAUCUACCAGUGAUUGAAGGUCAUUCAUAAAAAUAUACAUUGUUUAAUAGAAGCUCUACUUUGAGUUUUUGGAAUUAAAAAACAGUCAGGAGUGAAGGAAGCAUUUUUUGGUGGUACAUUUUGUUUACUUUUAUAAUGUUGUUAAAUUACAAUUCACAUUCUCCACAAUAGGACUAGGGGAAAAUAGCUUGUAGAUUCUACGAUUUUCCUGUAGAUUAAAUUUUUAAGUUUUCUAAGCCAGAGCCUAAAAUGAUCAACAUCAAUGAGGGUACUAAUGAAACCUUGAUUUCUAAUUUCAUCCUGCAGAAGGAGGUCUUUGGGGCAUGAUAAUGUGAUAACAUACACUAUCUGUUUUAAUAAGUAAUGUUCAGACAAGAAAUGGUGCUUGAUACUAACACGUCUUAAGGUCAUCGGUAAGGUUUCCUCUUCUACUGUACAUUAUUAUACUCAGUCUCCACCAACACAGAUGAAUUAGAUGGUGGUGAUGGAAAUGUUCCCCCUUAGGCCAACUUAUAGGAAAAAGAGUCUCCCAUUCCACUAACUUAAGGAGCUUUCUAUUUUUAUUCAUGUGUUUUAAUUAACAACUACAUUUUAAAAUAUAUCCCACCUAAACAUAUAAUCUGGUUUUGGUCACUUCAGUUUAUGCAGCUUUUAUAAAGUAGCAUAGAAUUUUACCAGUUUGGGGCCAGUUUUUGUGGCAGUAGAGCCUCCCACAUUCUCAUCCCCAGCUGGCUCACCCUGGAUUUCAGGUGGUCAUCUUGUAAUUAGAAAUAACCACAUUUUGACACCGCGAAUCCUGUGAUUAUUAACUAUUUCCUCAUCAGCAAACUACUAUCUUCCUUUUGUCACAUUAGGAUCUUUUUCUUCAAAGGGAUGAGUUUACAAAUGGCCCCAUGGCCCUAUUCCAGGUUCAUCUCUUCUACAUUAUUCACAGAGGUGAUGUUUGCUUUUAUUAAACAUCCUCCUUUGUACUGCAUGGCAAGGAUUUCUUCCUGUAAGUCCAGCCCACAGGUUGACUCCAGACCUGCGACCCAUAACUCAAUAGAGUGGUGCCCUCUUUACAAACUCCAGGUUUCCUGUGCUGUCAGUUAGGGCAAUCAGCACAAAGACCAAGCACUUUGAGAACCAAAUAAACAAUGAGCAAAGCGUUCAGGGCUGCCAGUAACCCUUCCCAGGGAACCGAACCGCCUUGGACCACAGGGCUGCCGUGUGGAAGAUGCUGGUGCAGGGUGAAACCUGACUUAUGUCCUGCCCUGUCCCCCCAUGGCUCUCAGCAUACUCUGUGGCUCAGGUUCAGUGGAGCCCUUCAGAGCCUCCUGCUCUCCCCUGAGCCUGAGUGGCCCUAUGGCGACAGACACCCACGCUUGUGUCCUGUUACAUCUGCGUGUCAUGUCGGCUUCUGAUAUGGAGCAUCAGAGUAUUUAAAAUUGGGGGAUUAACUAAAUUGAGAAUUUGCUGAUAUAUGAAGAAAACAUCUCUUCUAACAAGUUCAAGCCAUUUGAACAGUUCCAGAAAGGCUCAGAUGCCAAGGGAAAGGCCACUGUACCUCUGAGGAGUGGUGCGGGCUGGACAGGCCAACAGGGAAGAGAAUUGCUGCAUUCUGUGGCACAGAACUUUAACCAUUUAGACAAUUAGUGUUUUUGUUUAAAGCCCUGUGUUGAUGUGUUUUUAAUUUAACUUGUUUGCUUUCUGAUACAUGUGAUGGCUUUACUGAUGGCCUGGAUAAUGCUUGCAGUAGCUGUUUAUGUGAUUGUUUAUAUGUUUCAAAGCCAACCAAAAACAUCUGCGAGUUAAAGUGAAGUGACUUGAAUCCAUCUGGAUCAGUUGGAAAUCUUGUUUCACUUAUUUCAGCAGUAAAAUGGUAGUGCAGAGUAUAAAACGAGCCAACCCACAACAAAGGUGCAAUCCGGCUGCAGACUCCAAACUGCCAUCGUGUGCACCUUAGGCAGAUCUUGGACCCCUCAGGAGGGGACUUGGGGGCGUUCCUUGUGUGUGCUUCUCCUGCAGUUCAUGGCGGCUUUCAGCAAAGGUCUCAAUUUACUAGUGAGAGAAUUUAUAGCCAAAGAGGUACGAAUAAACUAUAGAAGAGGUAAAAGAUUAAUCUUUUAAGUGUGUCAUUGAAUAUAGUUUUUUAAAAUUAUAUACUUAAGUUAAUACUUGAUUAUACAUCUUAAGUAGAAAACACGAACAUCUCCAGGGGCCUGGCAGGUACCCUUGGCAUGCGCCCAUUGAUAGCGUCCUGGAAUUGCUUCGACAUGGGAGAACAUCCCACCAUCAAAAUAUGUCCUCAUUCUUUAAAUUUGCACCAGUCUCCUAGGAAUAAAUUACUUUUUUUUUUUGACAUUUUCUGCUACUACUGAAUUUGGGAAUCUUAUAAAAUACUUAUUGGACAUUUGGAUUUGGUUUUUUGUGAAUUUUUCCUUUAUGUUCUUUCCCUACUUUUUUACUGGAAUUUUUAUAAUUUUCAUGGAACAUUUCCAAGAUUUGUGUAAUAUAAAUGUUAACAUUACUGUGGUGCAGCUUUCAGAUAAUGGGGUUAAGAUUUAUCUUCUUCAUUGACUAUGCUUAUGGCAUCUUUUGUCUUACAAUGUAGUUUUCAUUUUUUUUUAAUCAAAUCAUGUUGUAUAAUCUAGAGUCCAUACAAGGAGGUGGGCUAUUAAAGCCUCUACAGGUGUGGUGGUGAAUUGAAUGAGAAGCUAAGUUAGAACGACAGGUAAAAGAAGCACAUUUCAUGGAGUAAUAUGAGCAAAGAUUUGGAUGUGAGAAAAAUACCACACUUCACAUGGGAGCCAGUGAGCAGAGUUUCAGUCCCAGAACUACCAAACUGUGUGGGUACUGGGAAGCCUGCAGUUCCCUUGAAAGUGAUUUGACUUUGUCCUGGGGUGGAUGGGUAAGAAGCCAUUAAACGUUUUGAGGAGUAGAGGAAUAAUAUACUUAGACAUAUGUUUUAGGAGGUUUUAGGAAGGUAAUACUGGCUCUGAUUAGGAAAAGUUCUAAAACACAAAAAUGGAGGCAAGCUUGCUUCAGUGAAGAAGUGAUGGGAAUAAAAACAGGAGUAGAUUUGUGAGCCUUUUUGGAGAGCAACUAGUAAGAGGCAGCACACUGGGUGUGAGCGUGAGGAAGAAGUGCUGAAGAGGGUUUCCAGAGCGUACCCACACGGGUGACCGGUGACACGGCGGCUUACCAGUGAGGGACCCUAGGUGCCUCAGAUUAGGGUGGGGUGGGGAGAAAUAAGGCACACGAACUUUGUGAUUCAGACAGACCGCCCAGGUGGAGGCAUCUAGUAGUCACCCAAGAACUAAAAUUGAGGCGAAAACCUUAAGUGGAGAUGAAGACAUGAGUUUAAGAGUUGUUGACCUAGAGGUGGUAGUCAAAGUCAUAAAGGGAGUAGGAGUUCCCAUCGUGGCGCAGUGGAAACGAAUCUUACUAGGAACCACGAGGUUGCGGAUUUGAUCCCGGGUCUCGCUCAGUGGGUUAAGGAUCCGGCAUUGCCGUGAGCUGUGGUCUAGGUCGCAGACCCGGCUGGGUUCUGGUGUUGCUGUGGCUGUGGCCUAGGCCAGCAACUGUAGCUCCGAUUAGACCCCUAGCCUGGGAACCUCCAUAUGC
rnacentral:lncRNA from 1 species